CGAUCAGCCACACUGGGACUGAGACACGGCCCAGACUCCUACGGGAGGCAGCAGUGGGGGAAAUUUUUCGACUACUGGGCUAACACGGUAUCGGAAACGGCCUAAGGGACCGGGUCCUUGGGGGGAACUUAAAACGGACUACUUGGGGUUCGAAAAACCCGUUUUUCGUAACCGGUAGGGUAAAGGAAAAAAGUUUACGUUUAGGUAAAGGGCCGGAAACCCGGGUUGGAACGGGUUAAACCCGACGGUAGGGAAAGUAACUACGUCGACCUUUCCGGACGGUAAACCGGGUACCGGUACGAACCCAAGGUUUCGGAAAACCGGACCCGUGGGUAACCGUAAACGGGACCCCGGGAAUGGAAACCCGAAAAAGGGGAAAACGUUUAAUUUACCGGUAAAGUCCGUAGUUAAGGGGACUUAAAGGACGGUCCGUCGACGGGUUCCGGACUUAAGGUCCUAAAGGUUUCGGUACGGGACGUUAAAAGGUCCCCAAAACCGGAAACCGGGGGCCGUUAAACCGUUACGGUAAACGGGGUACGACGUUGGGUAACCUUGGAAACGAAGGGACCUAAGUACGUAAGGUCCGGUAACGGGACCGUAGGGGAACGGUAAGUUACCGACGGUAACGGUACCCGAGGUAACCGUUCCGGUAACGGGGGAGGGCCAAAGGGCCGAACGGUACGGGGGUAAACGGGUUUUACCGACGGAAGUGGGACGAAAGCCGUGGAACGGGAGCCAAAGGACCGGCGGUAGGGGGGAAACAAGGGCUUUCGUUGGGGUUUACGUAAAACCCCCUUUUGCGUAGGGGAAAGUAAAGGUUGUAGAAACGCAAACCGUGGAACGGUACCAGGAGGAACUCAGCAGUCGGACUAACUCGUACG
rnacentral:rRNA from 1 species